GGGCUACUGGCGGAGCUCCCGUGGAUUUCUUCAUUUUUCGCUAUUUAAAGAUCUCUCCCCUAAGCCACUUAUAGAGGGCUUACGCAACGGCCAAACAGCGUAGUGGUAAAGAUUACGGGCCCCCAAGGGGCGUUGCAACACACUGAAGCGUUCUGAACCUGAAAACAGCUAAUGACAACCUAAGAAGAUAACGGCUGUGUCCUGAAAAAAGAAACGCACUUAUCCAAGAGUCCACAUUAUCCACACAACUAGCAGUGUCAAACCUUGUACGCAGCUUCACAAUCAUCCACCACAACGUCCCGAAGAACAGCCAACUUGUGACGAAACCUGAAGCGAACGCCAAGAAUAUCCACCCCCAUUUAGCGUCAAGCAGCGUGGUGAACGGAUCUGCCAAGUAGAGUGCUUUCUUGUUUUCAACGUUUGCUGCCGUAACAUUCACUUUCCCCCUCCUAGAGACCAAUCUAGAGUUUUGAUGCUGUUUAAUCUGUUGGUCUUUCGAAAAAAGUCCAGUUAGCUUUUGAGAAAGUCGAGAAAUCUUGGGCUGGCAUUUAGAUUCUGAAGAGGCAGUAAGGCACCGGCUCUCUUCGAUAGAAUUCGAUGUGUCCACCAUAUCCAAGAUGUAAUCUCUACGGGGCAUUUGUUAACAGGGGCAUCUCACAGCUUUAGUCAAACAAGCAAACACUAAUUAAACAAUUCAACCAUCAAAUCUGCGUUACUGAGAACGCUCCCUUGAGAACGAGACUUUUUGGAGUAAGAUUAGGCUUGCCAGCUAUUUAAGCGGUUUAGAAAUUGUACAAACCCCUCUCUAAGACAAUACAUCUCGUUUCAACGGCCUCGUUAGCCUCGAUAGUGUUUUCCCGUAUGACAAGACCGUUAUAUCUGAUCACCCAUUUUAGCCAUUUUGCAAAUAGCUUUGUUGUGAGCAAAAAGCAUAAAGCAACGAUUAUCACAGGUGUGAUCAGUCCAGAAAACGCCUUGAGCCACAACUUAGACAGCCGACGCAAGACUAACUUAUCUUUCUUAGGCCUCAAAAGCUCAAAUCUCGUCCCAAUCUAUUGUAUUGGCUUAUAAAGUGGCUAUUAAAAUAUUUCAGUUGCUUCGUCUACACAUGUUCAUCACUCAUUUUCUGAGUGAUAAGGUCACGAACGUCUUUACAAAACCUGACACCUUGUUUAUUUCUAAAGCAUAAGAAAUGUACAACAAUUUUUGCGUGCCCUUUUUCGCGUAAUCAUAUAAUGGAUUUGCCAACACUUUCCAAUAUAUUUAAGCCCUUCGGGUGUUUCGGAUUUAAAGGUAAAAUUGUCUUCAAAGAUUUAAAGCCCAUUUCCUUAUUGAGAACACAGCAGCUGCUUUAUAUCCUCUUUGAUUUAUUUCUCCCGUAAAAAUACGAAGCUGGGUUAACGAGUUUUAAAACCAAGUAGAAGACAGUUUUCGUUUUCUUUACGUUGACAUGCCACUUAAGGCGCGGCAGCUACAUGCAUGAUAAAUAGAUUUGCGCUAACACUGUAAGUCUAUAGGCUAAACCUACUUGAGCAACAGAGAAAAAGAGACCUAUCGGCACCAUUAGAAAGGUUUUUUCAAAAUAUUAAUACAACGCGAGCAGCAUAUAACCUGUGUAAAUCAGGUUUAUUCUAUUGGAGUUUCGAAGUAAAAAUGAUUUAAUCUUUGAGUGUUUUAAAAAAAACUUUUGAUGGCAUGUGUUCGUUCUUUUGUUUCAUCAAACGUCAUACAUUAUUUUAUACUUCCUUUCGCAUUACAUGGUCUCGUGUCUGUUUUCACGCAUGGGAAGGCGACAGGUGGUAUAUGAAAACUACUCUAAAACACGAGCCCGUUGAUUGCCGCAAACUUGCCUCUCUCUGAGUGCUUUCAGCGAAAGACUACUGUUCUGGAAAGGUUUCAAAUUAUAACGUGCAACUAUUAUAAAAGGCAUGACCAUUGUCAUUGGUGACAAUGCGGCUUUAACUCGGGGACAUAAAACUUUCGUAGACCACCACUUACAGCUGUUACAAAACAGUAUUGGAGACAGCUAAUCUAAAUGUGCAAGCAGUCUUUAAUUUUUAUAAUCUCGUUUUAAUCGAAUACCCCCCCCCCGAAUUUUGAGAUAAGCGCCCUCUCACCUCCCCCUAAAAUUAUCUCGACAAAAGCACCAUUUGAAUUGUGUAAAUCUAUAUAAACACAAAAAUCCUGUACCAGAAUAAGUCUAACAGCAUUUUUACUGUCGUUUCAGUUUAUCGCAAAUAAACUUUUGUCCCAGAUCGAUUCAGAAGCUGCUAUUUUCCUCCAAAAUAAAAUAAGCGCCCUCUCACAAGUAAGCGUCCCCUCUCCUAUAACCCUUCCCCCCCCCC